UCAGGAGCCGUAAGCAGGGACCGGGCCGCGACGCGCCCAUCCGCACGGGGCCUGUAGGUUGAUGCGGUAUGCCUGGCGUGUAGAACGCGCGCGCAAACACAUGGUACCAUGUGAUUACAGCGCUGGAAGCUUGGGGAGUCGCUGGUGGGGGCCGUAUGCAGCCUCUGCUGCUGGCAGCCGUAAGCAGGGACCGGGCCGCGGCGCGCCCAUCCGCACGGGGCCUGUCGGUUGAUGCGGUAUGCCUGGCGUGUAGAACGCGUGCCCCAACACAUUGUACCAUGUGAUUACAGCGCUGAAAGCUUGGGGAGUCACUGGUGGGGGCGGAAUGCAGCCUCUGCCGCCGGCAGGGGCACUGGGUGCUCAGGCAAUGUCAGGAACCGUAAGCAGGGACAGGGCAGUGGCGCGCCCAUCCGCACGGGGCCUGUCGGUUGAUGCGGUAUGCCUGGCGUGUAGAACGCGUGCCCCAACACAUUGUACCAUGUGAUUACAGCACUGGAAGCUUCGGAGUCGCUGGUGGGGGCGGUAUGCAGCCUCUGCCGCCGGCAGGGGCACUGGGUGCUCAGGCGAUGUCAGGAACCGUAAACAGGGACAGGGCAGUGGCGCGCCCAUCCGCACGGGGCCUGUAGGUUGAUGCGGUAUGCCUGGCGUGUAGAACGCGCGCGCAAACACAUGGUACCAUGUGAUUACAGCGCUGGAAGCUUGGGGAGUCACUG
rnacentral:lncRNA from 1 species